GGGCCCGCACAAGCGGUGGAGUAUGUGGUUUAAUUCGAUGCAACGCGAAGAACCUUACCAGGGUUUGACAUCCUGCGAAUCUCUUGGAAACGAGAGAGUGCCUUCGGGAACGCAGUGACAGGUGGUGCAUGGCUGUCGUCAGCUCGUGUCGUGAGAUGUUGGGUUAAGUCCCGCAACGAGCGCAACCCUUGCCUUUAGUUGCCAGCAUUAAGUUGGGCACUCUAGAGGGACUGCCGAGGAUAACUCGGAGGAAGGUGGGGAUGACGUCAAAUCAUCAUGCCCCUUAUGCUUAGGGCUACACACGUGCUACAAUGGGUGGUACAGAGGGUUGCCAAACCGUGAGGUGGAGCUAAUCCCUUAAAGCCAUUCUCAGUUCGGAUUGUAGGCUGAAACUCGCCUACAUGAAGCUGGAGUUACUAG
rnacentral:rRNA from 1 species